rnacentral:rRNA from 1 species
UACGUAGGGUGCAAGCGUUAAUCGGAAUUACUGGGCGUAAAGCGUGCGCAGGCGGUUGUGCAAGACAGAUGUGAAAUCCCCCGGGCUUAACCUGGGAAUUGCAUUUGUGACUGCACGGCUAGAGUGUGUCAGAGGGGGGUAGAAUCCACGUGUAGCAGUGAAAUGCGUAGAUAUGUGGAGGAAUACCGAUGGCGAAGGCAGCCCCCUGGGAUAACACUGACGCUCAUGCACGAAAGCGUGGGGAGCAAACAGG